UACCACUAUUAGUUAUUUUCCACCAGUUUUCCUGUAUCAUUUCAUAAAAGGAAUGUAGCAUUUCCUAAAUGAGCUCAUUGCCUAUUUUUGAGUUAUAAAAGCCUGAAAGGCUCUGAAAGAUUGUUUUCAGAACUGUACAUUUCUCCAGGUGAAGCUGUCACAUGGCCUAGAAGUGACAUGGCUUCUAAUUAAGGAAGUCUCUAAAGGCUCUUCCUUUCAAUUCAGGAAGACCCUCUGGCCUUCAAUUUGAGAAUGGUGUCUACUGUGUCAGGAUAGGAUUCUCCAUACUUCAGAAAAUGCCUUUUGUAUGAGGAGAGGAUGGGUAUUGGGAAUUCAAGAAUAUAGUUUAGAACUUAAAAUUUUAUCUAGUCUACUUCUUAUCCACCUUCAGUCUAGAUAAAAUGAAGCAGACAAAGCAUUCCUUUUAUCUUCUAUCACCAUGUAGAUUCCAUUUGCUUCUGUUCCCCAGUCCUUCUCAAGCAGCCCCUGUGCUCCAUUUUUUUUCUCUUCUCCUCCCUUCUUUUUUGCUUCCCACCCCUUCUCCUUUUCUAAUACCUAUUCUCUCACAUUAGCCAAACUGAGUUUGAUACAAAUAAAGGGAAUUUUAUUUUUUAUUAAAAAUUUUGCCCAUUAAUAUUUAUAAGAUGUUUUUGUUUUAACUGUGUAUUUUAGUUAUAUGAUAAUCUGUUUCCUACACUUGACCAUGAGCUCCUCAGAGAAGCUCUGUCUCAUUCAUCCCUGCCUACUCAGAGGUACUCAGAGGACACUCAAAUGUUAGUCAUAACUUAGGUGGUCCUGUUUAUCUUUCCAUAACUCUAGAAAUUAUCUAAUUCAAAUAUGGCAGACAUCAUGGCUGAAAUGUAUUCUGUAGAUCCCAUAGGGUCUGCUCAGAUGCCUGUGUUCUCACUGAGACAUGAGGUAUCUUUUUGCAUCUUUUCCCCUGCCCUAUCUUAAGCUUUUUGCCAUUUCCUUUUUUCGUUGUUCAAAUUAACACAGUAUAGCUGUUUCUCCUAACUUGUAUAAUAAUCUGUCACAGAGCAUUAUGGGGUCACUCAGUUUUCCUUUUCUAAACUGAAAUGUAAAGAUUUAAUAAAUUGAUUGGUCAUUGAGAAGAAGCUCUAAAACUGAAACACGAGUAAUUAAGAAAGAAACUGAAGAAAAGGCAGCAGAAAGAACUGACCAUGAAUGUAGUGUUGCAGACAAAACAUAUUGUUAAGGUGCAUGUACAUAUUAUGGUAGGGUGGUAGGCUCUUAUAUUGAUGGUCUCCAAUGAAUCAUGGCUCCCAGAAUUUAUGAUUUGUCAUGGUUCCCUCCCACAUUGACUCUGGGUUUGGCUAUGUGACUUACUUGGUCCAAUGGGACAUUAGCAACUGUGACACAGCCGAAGGUCGAUAAGUUCUUGUACAUUGAAAUUGGCUUGGAAGCAAGAGAGCUCAGGUUUUUAUGGACUUGGGGUUCAUAAUGCUGAUGGUAAAACUCUUUGAAGUAGUUACUUUAUCAUUGGCUUUCAUUAAGUUUCUAAAAAAUUUUUUAAUUUUAUUUUAGAGAGAAAACUCAGGGGAGGGGGCAGAGGAAGAGAGAGAGGGAGGGAGAGAGAGAGAGAGAGAGAGAGAGAGAGAGAGAGAGAGAGAGAAUCUUAAGCAGUCUCUUUGCUCAGUGUGGAGCCUGAUGUGGGGCUCAAUCCCACGACCCUGGGAUCAUGACCUGAGCGGAAAUCAAGAGUUAGAUGCUCACCGGACUGAGCCACUCAGGUGCCCUUAAAUUCCUUUUUAUAUAAUAAGAUGAAUUUCUCCUUUUCUGUAGUAUAGCAAUACCUAAAAAGAUGGCUCAGGAAACAGCAGAAGACAAGUUGGAAAAUGCUGGAGAAAAGAAAAAUAGAGAUUUCCUUAAUGGAAGUGUUGGAAUUUGGGAGAACACAUUAAACAGAAGAGGAAAAAGGAGAUCUUGAAGGUCACGCUCAACAUAUGGAAAGGAUAAAAUAGCAACAACAACCAGACUGGACAGCUUAUGGAGUAGGACUUUAAAAGGAGGGAAAUAAUUUAGUAACUAAUUGGCUGGAGAGAGUGACUAGAGUCUUAAAAAGAAUCUAACAGGUGGGGUGCCUGGGUGGCUCAGCUGGUUAAGCAUCUGACUUCAGCUCAGGUCAUGAUAAACAUUAAAAAAACGUUAAAUAAACAGAAGUAAACAUUAAAAGCAUUUUUAAAGUCCCAUUCAAUGGUGAAAAUAUUUCUAAUAAUAAUAGCCCUUAUUGAAUUUCACGUGUUUUAAAUAAUUUCACACAUAUUAAAUAAUUUAAUCCUAAGAACUCCACGAGCGAAGUACUAUCUUCUCCCUUUGACAAGUGGAAAAUGUGACUGAGAGAAGCUAAGUAAACUUUCCCAAAAUCACACAGGUAGUAAGAGGUAGAGCUGGGAUAGGAACCCAGGCACAAUGGCCUCAAAGUCCAUACUUUUAACUAGCAUGCCAUAAUGCCUUGAAAAUUAUCCAGUACCGCUGAACUUCCAUUGCCUGUGUAGACCAUGUACUCCUGGAUUGAGUGUGGAUUCUGUCUAGUCCUAUUUGAGCAGAAUCUGUGUAGGCCCUAGAAUCUAUGUCCUAGGGACGCUUUACCCUGAGGUCCCCACAUCCGUUUCAGUUGUAGAAUCAUCCUCAGCAGAUUUCUGAACAGAAUCUGUUAUUCACACUACUGAAGUAUUUACCCCUUGAGCCUAGUGAGGACUAAUCCUACUGCCAUGUUCUCUCUUGCAAAAAACUAACCCUUUUCAGCUUUUGGAUUUUCUAUACUCUAAGAACUUACUUCACAUGAAUGGGAUGGAACUCUUUCCUCUGUCACACCGAUUUCUGUGGUGGAGAUCCAUGGCAAAACUACCCACUCUUCCAGGCUACAUUUCUUCUACUCUUUUCAGGAAGGUUCCCUUAGUUUUAUAAAUCCUAUCCUGACCCUCACAGUGAUUCCUUUCCUUCUCAAAAACCUGCAAGCAGCCCUGUUUGGUGGAACUGGCUGCUCUCUCUUUAUUACUUCCCCUUGAUUUAGGGCUCAGACAUUGGUUUUUUCCCUAACAGAUUCUAUUUUUGUUUUGGGAAGGCUCCCACAGGCAGAAAUAUGAAGCCAAGGAGUUAUUGAAUUAUCAAACCACCAACUGUUCACCUAACCUUGCCCACCUUCACCUCCAUUGGAUGAAUUCAUUCUCUCCCAUUACCCCACAUGGACUUAGGGUCAAUCACUUUGGUCCUCCCUCAUUCAUUUUAGUGUUUCUCCUUUUUCUGUGCUUCUCUUCUGAGAUUUAACUCUAGAAAUUCUUGGUUCCCUAGGGCUCAGGAGAUACAAAAAUCUUUACCUGGACACUGACUUAAUAAUACGUGAAGGCAUCUAUUCUAAUUGCCCAAGUUCUUGACUUAAAAGUCUAUUCAGUUUUUCUGUAACCACUUUGACUAGCUUUCCUGUCCUUAAAGGGAAUAUCUCCAAGAGCACCUGCAGUUACUCAGUUAUCUCCUGGGCUUGUGCUCCCUCUGGGAACAUUACUCUAGUUUCCUCUGUUAGAUUUAAAAAAAUUUUUUUUUUCAUGUUUAUUUUUGAGAGAGAGAGAGAGACAGAGCACGAGUGGGUGAGAAGCAGAGGUGGGGUGGGGGGACACAGAAUCUGAAGCAGGCUCCAGAUUCUGAGCUGUCAGCAAAGAGCCCUAUGUGGGGCUUGAACCCACGAGCUGGGAGAUCAUGACCUGAGCUGAACUUGGACUCUCAACUGACGGAGCCACCCAGGAAGGAAGAUUAUCCUAGAUAAUCUGGGUGGACCUGAUUCAGUUAUUUAAAAGGUCGUGAGAACAGAAGACCUGCAUCUUCCCUGAAAAAGAAAUUCUGUCUAGAGGAAGCAGUUUCAGUUUGUGCCUGAGAGUUGCAGACAGUUCCCUUCCUGAUGGCCUGCCCUAUGAUUUUCCGGCUUGCCUAGCCAGCCCUGAUAAUUGCAUAAGCCAAGUCCUUGCAAUAAAUCUCUUAUUAUGUAUUUCUUACUGAUUCUGUUUCUCCAGUUGAGCCAUGAUUGACAUAUAUAUUUCUGUAACUUGCUUUUUCACUAAUAAAAUGUCUUAGAGACGGCAUUAUAUUUAACUGCUGAAUAAUAGCAUGUAAUAUGACUAUAAUGUGUCUCAUCUGAUCAUCCUAUUAUUGGUGGGUAUUUUAGUUGUUUAGAUUCAAAUUUAAAUCAGAUUCAAACUUAUUUUCAUUGGCUACUUUGGAAAUUUGCUUUAUUGACUUCUUGUAUCCAGUAUUACUAUAAUAAAAUCUAAUACAAAUCA